GCCUCAGCCUCCCGAGUAGCUGGGACUACAGAUUUUAAAACUUUUCGAAGGGCUGUAUAUUCUCCCCAAAUCUUCCUCCGUGCUGCCAUACCUCUGACCCAGGAAGGAGACACUGGGUCAGAGACUGGGCUGGUAACUGAAGUUUACCAAGAAACAGAAAGAAAGCCUGCUCCAAGCUAAUUUUUUUUUUCCCCAUUAGUUCAAGGAAAGAAGAAAACUGAUUUUUUAAGAGCGAUGCAAAAUGAAAGCCAAGGCUAAGGACUUACUUUCCUGGAUCUGGCAUCUGAGUGCACAGCAACCGCAGAGACUGAAAACUCCUCCGAAUAGAAUGAAUGUUUGCCAUCCCCAUAAACACAACUUCACAGUUCGGGUAAUAUUCUGGAGAGUAACAAUAAAAAGAAUACAAAUAUGUUGAAUUUAAAGCCCACAUGGCCAAAUUUAAAAGAAACAAACUAGCUAUAAAAUAAACCCACUGCAGCUUCUGAUUAAUGAAACUGAAAUGUUUUGAGAUGCCUAUUAGCCCGAUCCUUUAUAAUAAGAGGAACACAGUGAUUGAAUUUUAACUAUCUUUUUGAAAAGGGUAAAAAGGGAAGGUUAGAUUUGUAAAGAAGCUACUGACAUAAAAUAAAAACUUAUUUUUUUAAAAGAAAGGCCUACUUUGAUCUCACUCUGGCUUUACUUCUUGGGCCUUAUCUAACUUGUGGCUUUGGAAUCUCUUUGAAAAGAACCUGGCAGAACAAUGCUUUCACGCAUUCAAAUUUCACCUUGGUACAGCUGCUUUCAAUUACCAGCUUAGACCACAAACAGCCUGGUGCCUCUUUCUGUGCCAUAAGCACACUGCUGGCACUGGGUGGGAGGGGAGGGGUCCUUCCUUGGGGAAAGCUAGCAUUCCAACAGUAACGGUGUUACAGUUUAGGACAGAGGCACCUUACCAGGGUUCUAUGUUUACUGUUCCAAUUUUCACCCCAGGUUUUCUAAGGAGGGGCCACGGAGGAGUUUGCUACAAGGCCAGUGAGGAGCAUACCCUCUGUCAAAGGCAACAAAAAGCUUUUAGACAGCUGAGAAAUUGAGCCCACUAAAGAGCAGCUUCCAAACAUGAACAGGCCUUAUUAUGAGGAAGAUCUGCUUUCCUUACCACCUAAAAAUUGGCACAAAGAAGGAAGAUUAUGUGACUUCACUGCACCUCCUCCUCCAUUUCUCCUCAGAAAAGAACAUACGGUGUCAAGAAUCCAAAGAGCAGCUUGGUACUCUCACGACAGGACAGAUGAAGAAUAUGGCUUGCUACUCGUUUCAAAUUGAGAACUAAGUCUCAGUUGGGCAUGGGCUGCCCUCACAAGGAGAAAGUAUGGGCAACAAAGCACCAUAUACCUCACCUGGGCAUUCGCAGCCUCCUCCUUUGGCUCGGUUCGCCACAGCAGCUGCAUAGGAGCGUGCAUCCAAGAUCAAAAGCUUCUGCGGUUGGAUGGCUAAACUCUCUGUUCCUGAAGCAUUUGACAGAGAAGAAUCUAGGGACAUGGAGGGAGGGGGCACACUAAAUGAAAUGUGAAGAAUUAGACCCACAAGUACAUCUUAUGACACAAAAAAGGCUCAGUAAAAUGAAAUCUUCUAACCAAAACCCUUGACACAUAGGUCUUUCCUCUUCAGUUUAUUUUCUAUCUUGGCUUCUUAUGAAAGACGAGGAGGAUUUAUUGUCCAAAACCGAGUCCCAGAGUACACAUGAGGUUUACAUAGCCCAGUCUCUUAUACUUCAUUUCUACAUCUGUCAUCCUUUCGUGAAGCCUGGCACUUCCCCCCAUGGUCUGCAGAUACUUCAAGUCCCCAAUUACAUCAACACUCCAUUUUUGUCACAAUGGCAAGAAAGACAACAAACACUAACAUCUUGAUUGAGGUUUGAAACAAAGGGUCUUCUGAUCAGGCAAUCCCAUCAAGUGAAGCUCUGCACUUUCACUUCUAUAAAACUAAAUCUGUGUCUUCUAAGGAAAAGGCCAUUUCAAGAAAAGGUUCUUAGAUGCUAUAAAAAUUACUGCCAUGGGUCCAGGGAGCACCUUACCAAACUCCACAUCAGAAAGGUCUCCCCCAUUGGGAAAGUCUCGAGAAGUAUUCCUAGUUGACUGCUUGCUGCCACUCGAUCGGGAGUCAGAGGCACAAGCUUUGGCUACUGAUUGUACCAGGUGCUCAUCAUCUGCAUUUCGCCAGCCCCACCAGCUAACCUCCGGCUGUCCACAGCGGGCAAUGACAGCUCCAUUGCUCUGGUGCCUGUGUGGGGAACAAGAGACAACUGUACCCAUCCCAGGGGCCCCCAUUCAGAUGCCCUGUACUCACACAAA